AAAAAUUACGGUUUUAAUCCCCGAAAACGGACACUCCUCCAAUUAAACCGUCAACGCCCUCGUCGACUGAGUUUGUUGGUUGUCUGCAAUUUUCUGCUAGGUUGACUCUUAAUCUCAGCCUCCCACUUUACCCAAAUUAACGAUCAGAGGCUGAUCUCCAUGCUUCGAAUUCGAUCUCCCUACCGUUACCUAACUCUCACCUGGCCCCUCCGUUUCUAACCACUCUCUGCUUGGAUCGCCGCAGCUCCCUAUGCUCCAAUGACUGAUCUGCCCUCCCUUCUCUCCGCUGUACCGCUAUUGGUGGAGGUGGUAAAUUCCUCUCUGCUAACUAAUACUACAUUCAUGUACUAUCGGAUUGAAGGGUCAUAUUAUGGUAUGCAUAAGUGUGAUAAGCGAGAGAGUGAGCGAUAAGAGAGGGGAAAUCGCAUUUUGUAAUAUUAGUAUUGUUUGUUUACUCUCUCUUUCAUAUAACUAUGUUUAAGAAUCACCCAAAGCUACCUUUAGAUGUUCUCCAAGUGCCAAAUUUCUGAGAGUUUGAUAGAAAAAUUUAAAAUUCAACAUAGCUCUUGGUUGGUUGUCUGUGUGAAUGCUGAAGCCUUCUUGACCUUUCACCCUUAGUUUUGAUCGUCUUUUGCGACCAAUUUUCUCUUAAAGCAUGCUCGUCUGCAGUUUGAUUGUUUUGAUAGGAUGGUAAUACUUCUUAUCUUUUUUGGUCUAAAGUAGGCCUGCAUAUGAGUGGUGAUAGGAAAAGCUGGUAGGAACACUAAACUUGGUUAAUUGUGCAUGUAGGUAAGUAAAAUUUUCAAUAAUCAAGGAGAAUAACAGCAACAAAAUUGGGUUAUAUUGUAUUUCUACAAACACAAGUACCCUGUCAAGAUUCAAAUAUAUUUGUAAUUUACUAAGCGGACUUGAGAUGUAUUGAUUAAUGAAUUAAAAGAAAGUAAUCCCAGUAAGGAAAUGGCCAUUCCGAAGAGAAGUGGAAGUAUUGGAAGUGAAGUCAAAUUUGCCUUCUUCGCCCUGAUGAAAUAGGAAAAGAAAUUUUAGAAAUGGAAGAGCAGUUAUCUGAUUUGUUAGUUUGUUGGCAAUUUUGCGCUACAAUAGUAGUGGCUAUUUUUAUUUAUUUGUGAUUGAUUAGUUGUAUAGACAUUUGACAGCAUAUUUAGGUAUUGAAGCAAUAGGUUUUAUAUUUGGCCCGCCUAUUGCAGUGGCUAUUGGAGCAAAAUUUGUGCCUAUGAGGAAACCUAAUAAGUUGCCCGGUAUGACUUUUGCAUCUGGUUUUGCUUUUCUUUUAUAAGUUAUCUACUUUCACGAAGUUUGUAAAUAGAAGAAAAUUCCUGAUUGGUUACUGCUGGAACUUGAUGAUAUUUAGUUUGUCAUUCCUGCUCAAGAAUUAAAUAUCAGAUGACUUAUGAUAAUACAUUCCAAUGGCGAUGUGUCCAGUUUCAACUUUUUUUUAAUAAAAAAAUAAAAUCUAUGUUUUUAAUACUUGAUGCUUAAUGGUUUAAGGAGAGGAUAUUUCAGAGUACUCAUUGGAAUAUGGAAAAGACAUAAUGGAGAUGCAUGUAGGUGCUGUGUGUCACGGUUUCAGAUUUUAGCCAUCGCCUGAAACCGUGCGGCACUUGACUUGAACACUUUCAAGCCAAGUCAGCCUUAAGAAUCACCCGAUAGCCUGUAAACAUGAGUAUCCUGAUUAGUCAAGGUUAUAUAAGCGAAUAGCGAAGCCAACAGGCGGUCUUCUAUUAAAAGCCUCACAGUAGGCACAAACGAAAAGAAUUGAACAUGAGAAUUCAUGAACAUACUACUUAUUUUGUUCCAGGGGCAAAAUAGUAAUUAUACAUUAUCAUCGACGCAAUCGUUACAAUAAUUCUCACCUCCCUUGUAGACAGGGCGGACGGUCUACAAGGAGUGAAUGCACAACUCAGGAUCUCCGUAGGCCUACGGUAGCCAACUGGGCCCAGCCCCAGCUGGUGGCCAACUAGUCACUCCCCCCUAAAGAGCCUUAGGAACAACUUGGCUUGUGGCAGGAGGAGACAUCAACAUGUCUCAUAUGAUACCCCCCAAAAUAAAUACAGGGAAAGGAAUUACAACAAAUUGUCUCGGCCCUUAUCUUCCUAAUAAUCUCUACUAAUUUAUCCCAUUAUUGUUUCCUGGGAACUCCAAUAUUGGAAAAUUACAAUUUUGGUCCCUGAAAACUGUAUGACCCUGACACUCUCCCACUUAAACGGUCGACGUCCUUGUCGACUGAGUUUUGUUGGGGUUCUUCAAUCUUCGAGUCCGACGUUCUUAGGCUUGCUCGCUGUGGAAUCUGAUUCCAGUCCUGGUUGAUUAAAUUGUUGGACAGCCUUACUCCUUUUGUAUGAAAUCGUUUAGUUCUUGGUAUCUCUGUGAACUGCUAGUUCUUUGUGAUGAUGAAACUACGAAAAGCUCUAUAUUCUGGUAGUAAAUGUUCUGCCCUUGAUUCCUUAGUCUACUGCAAAUGGUGCGAGAAAUUGUUACUUUACUCCUUUGCACGAACUUAUUGCUUGAACUCAUUGAUCACUGGUUCUUUUCUCCUAAACAUGUCUCGCCAUUACUUGUCUUUAAUUAUCGACCUUACUCUUCGCCUCAAUAGCACAACCCCAUCGUGCAACAAAUCUAUCAACCUGCAUACACUCAUGCCGCACGACAUUGUGAUUAACUUGUAAUAGUCUCAUAAAAAAGAUUAGUACUAACCACGUCAGAUUCCAAUACGAAUUAGUAUAGCAAGUCAUCUAGAAUACAACCCAUUACAAAUCAACAGGUGUGCCAACAGCACUUGACCACUAAGACUUGAACGGCCUUUACCCAUCCCCUUGACAUAACACCACGUUAUUCCACUUGUAGUGAAGCUCGGCGAAUACUCCUAAGAAAUCGAUGUCUCCAUUGUCAAAAGAGUUUGCUCAACACUCUCUUUCUCUUUUGUACGUCUUACAGUCCUCCCCUUCAUAAGCUCUGGUAUUAUGCUCACUUUAUCUCCUUUUCCUCUCCCUAAGAAUGUAGUUUAUGCAGAUGCCUACAAAACGACACACAUUACACACAAAAUAACCACGACCACUGAACCCUAUGAACCGCAGAAAUCUACUCAAAACAGCUAUUAAGAAUGACUAUACAUAAAGCAAUUAAUAUCAUCAUUAUGAUUCGACAAUCAGAAAUUACUAGAAGAUACCCCCUUUAUUAUACCACUUUCAUCAUAGCUCCCAACAUCGACUUGCCUCACCAACUUGCCUUAAGCAACCUGUGGUUCUCGACCUUUCUCGGUCCUCCUCUACGUUGAUCCACUUGUAGGAACUUUUGUUUGGCCAUGAGGUCUCUUUCCUGCUCAACAAUAAGAGUAGGACUAAAUUUGUCCUUUUAAUUACACAUUAUUUUCCAAUCCCUUUUAAGGAAGCUAUAUCCUGUAUGUUCAUAAUAUUUGUUAGCACCAACUUGUCAAGUCCCACAUCACAAGGAACCUGACUCAAUAAUACACAAAAUAUUUCAGAAUAAAUGAAUAACUAAAAUGAAGUAAGACAAAGAAUGAUAUCAAGAAACACAAAAGCAUUAUACUCAUCUGAUGUGAGAGGGUUCCCUCUCGUUAAAUUCCCUCUCGUUAAAUUCCCUUCUCUCGUACUGAAUUAUCAUUAAGAAUCUCAAUCUCUUCUCAUUACCUUGAGCCCCACACUCCUUUGACUAGUUCAAUGGUCUUCACUUUUGCCAGUUUUCACUUAUCCUCCUUCUUUUUGUCGUAGGACGAGUGAAUUGUUUGCUUUCACAACACUGUUGCUCCCAACGGAAUUUGAUACAACUCUCGCCCAAUGUUACCCUACAUUCCUCUUGGUUGUCCUAUCAAGAUGUUCACUUACCUCAAAGAGAAUGAACAUGUGCUCGACAAUCAUAAUUGGUUGACACCUAUCAUACAUUGUUUCAUCCUCUUGUACUUAUUAUUUUCCUUUUUAGGGUAUGCCCUUCCUAUUUUGAUGCUCGUUUUCUAUAUUCUUGUAAAGUAUAUGUUUUGAGAGAUGAGGCAACCACCACCUUUGAUCUAUCACCAUCUCAUCCAUACCAGUGUUUCACAUGGAUCCCUCAAGACUUUUCCCUCUGCACUAACAACGCUGCACAACAUAGCAAGAGUUAUAGGAGCGAUAGCUUGCUCACUAGAUACGCACCAGGAUCAAGUAAUUUAUAAAAGAAUAUCAUAACAGUCGAUAACCAUUGUACUCAUUUCUCAUAAACACCACCUUUAUUUAUUUUGUUCCACUUACUCACAAAUAGACAAUCCUUCAUCGAAUGCUACUUUUUGUCGAGUUUACUCUUGCACCCCCUCGUGCUGGAUAGCCACUAGUUUCUUCUUCACUACUCUCUAUUACCUCUCCUUUAUCAAGGAAUAAUUAUUGGUCAAAAACAGAGAUAACUUGUGUCAUUCUGGGAGACGCCACACCUAUUAACGUCUCGGGUUCACUACAAGGAGGAAUUGUGAAGUCCAUCUUGCUUUUUGAUGUCCUUGAUUAAGCGAGUUUGUCAAAGGACAUGCUCACAUUAAUCCCUACACUCAAGUUGUUUGCUUUAUCUCUUUCCCCAUAUCAUCCACUUCAGUUUUAGUCUUGAUUCUAGAAAUUGUAUAAACAGUCCAUGAAUCUUGUAUUUGUGCCCGCUUUGUAGCAUCAACUCCAAUAUACCUGACACCGGCCAACGAUAUAUUGUUUUAUACUAGCUCCGAUUCUCAUUUCUUCUCUUAAAGUCCUCAAGGAGACUUUAAAGAUCUCCUCCUCCAUCUCAUGUCCCUUAUUUGACACAACACUCGCAGAAUAUCUCCACCAUGCUUGAUCCCUUCACGCGAACAAUACUACCUUAGGCGGGGAGGAACAAGAAAGUACAAACAACCUAGAGUUGACAACUCUAUGAUUUAUACCUUAUGUUCCCUCCUCCCUUACUCACCAAGUCCUUCAAGAACUUCGAAGCAUUUCUGCACAAGCAAUUUGUAGAAUAAUAUGGCUUUCUUCAUAGAGAACACUUCAUACUGCUUAGUUAUGCCACUUCUAUGUCAUCUUAUUAAUCACAUUUCAGAUCGCUCCCCCAUUUACUGCUUUAGCCCAUCUUCUUAGGUGGCUAUCAAUCAGAUACCAGAAUUGAACAUCUCUUUAACUCCUUGGUAACAGAAUCAACUCAAUCUUGAUCACCCUUUGCUCUACACCAUAUUCCUCCAAGUUUUGACCUUAUUCAGGAAGGUUUUAAGCUCAGUCAUGUCUCUUGAAUUUGUUGUCACGAUUUGCUUACUCUAUUAAAAUCAAGUGCCACAUUCUUUUGUGUCAGCCAUAGAUGCUGAAUAGUUCCUUUAUGUACUUUCCUUAAGAACACCUUGUUGGAGUUUACCAACUCUCUUGAAUAGCAAAUGUUACAUUCUUGUAGUAAAACUGAAGCUUGCCAUUUCCUAUCCCUUUUCUCAUGUAUAGUGUGAACGCUCUCUAUCCAUAGGACUUUACACUUUCAUCCUUCGAAUAAAUAUAGCUUUAUAGUUCGAUCACAUAAAUAUUGUUCUUUUAUAUAUCUGCACAGUCACAAUUCCCAAUAAUAUUAAUAAAUCAGUUCAUAUUAAAGAGAAAAAUUAUUUACCUCCAUCCCACGACAAGGAUUGAGGUUUUGGGAUUCCACCCAUGCCUACUUCAUAGGCAUUAGUUCGUAAUUCACACCAUUGAUAAGUGUACCUCUGGUCCACUUUUGAAGUAUUGCUCAUAGUCUCUCCUAUGUUACAUUUAAUAUUCNNNNNNNNNNNNNNNNNNNNNNNNNNNNNNNNNNNNNNNNNNNNNNNNNNNNNNNNNNNNNNNNNNNNNNNCUUGCACCAUUCCUGCAAGCAAAAAAAAAAAAAAAAUACAUGAGAGGCUUUUGCCUCAAUUUUGUCUCGGGAGGCCUCUUGCCUCAAUUCUAUCUCGGGAGACCUCUUGCCUCAAUUCUAUCUCAGGAGGCCUCUUGCCUCAAUUCUAUCUCAAGAGGCCUCUUGCCUCAAUUCUGUCUCGUGAGGCCUCUUGCCUCAAUUUUGAGUGGAAAGGUCUCGAGAUUCUCGGAUGGCCUCAAGCUCUAUUGGCUCAUCCUCCCCCUUAUCACUAUACCUUGAGGUCAUUACUCUCUCUCCAAGGGCCACUAAAAGGAAGAAGUAUGUAGCACCUAGUCAUUACCCUCUCUCCAGAAGACAUUUCCAAUGAAGUGUGCAGUACUAGGUCAUUACCUCUCUCUCAAUGGUGUCCCUAGUGGAGCGUGCAGCACCUCUAGUUAAUAUGGCCAGUCUAGCUCGAGAGCUCACGCUUUUGUCUUCUUUUGCCUCACAAUGUGCUACUACUCCUCGUAGCUUCAUAAUUGGGAGGUCACUGCCUCCCCCUUUCACCACUUUACGCUCAAGAUCACCCCACCGGGUGUCAUUCGCAUGAAAGAGGUUUUGGAAGGCCUCAAUCUCCCGCCAAUUUGGCCAUCCUUUAUCUUGCUCGCAGAUCUUUCUUGCUUUGAUACCAAUUGUCACGGUUUCAGAUUUUAGCCAUUGCCUGGAACUGUGCGGCACUUGACUUGAACACCUUCAAGCCAAGUCAGCCUUAAGAAUCACUCGAUACCCUGUGAAUAUGAGUACCCUGAUUAGUCAAGGUUAUAUAAGCGAAUAGCGAAGCCAACAGGCGGCCUUCCAUUAAAAGCCUCACAGUAGGCACAAACGAAAAGAAUUGAACAUGAGAAUUCAUGAACAGACUACUUAUUUUAUUCCAGAGGCAAAAUAGUAAUUAUACAUUAUCAUCGACACAAUCGUUACAAUAAUUCUCACCUCCCUUGUAGACAGGGCGGACGGCCUACAAGGAGUGAAUGCACAACUCAAGAUCUCCGUAGGCCUACGGUAGCCAACUGGGUCCAGUCCCAGCUGGUGGCCAACUAGUCACUCCCCCCUAAAGAGCCUUAGGAACAACUUGGCUUGUGGCAGGAGGAGACAUCAACAUGUCUCAUAUGACACCCCCCAAAAUAAAUACACGGAAAGGAAUUACAACAAAUUGUCUCGGCCCUUAUCUUCCUAAUAAUCUCUACUAAUUUAUCCCAUUAUUGUUUCCUGGGAACUCCAAUAUUGGAAAAUUACAGUUUUGGUCCCUGAAAACUCUAUGACCCUGACACUGUGCAAGCAGGAGAAUGGGCGUUGGUUAUAGAUGAUCUCAUUGCAACUGGAAGGACCUUAUGUGCUGUGAUCAAGCUACUUGGCACUGUUGUAAGCUUAAAUUGCAGUGUAACUUAUGGUUGUGGCUGCCUCUUUAGUCUUUCGAUAUAUUACCUUUCCCUAUAUUUAUUUAUAUUUGGUUUAAGACUUUAGAGAAGAGAGAAGUGGGCUUAAGCAGUUCCAAUGUUAUCCUUUUCAAUUGAAAAAGGGUUCUCCUUCGUUUGAGGAGUAUGGUAAAUGUAUUGUUUGAAUUGGCAUCUGGCAAACAAAAUAUUUUCUGGAAGCCAUUCUAAGCAAAAGUUAGGACUGUCUCUAUUGCAAUGCAGGUUUCACUUGCAAGAGUUAGGUUUGAGUAGCACUAGGAAUGACGUAUCCAUUAAACAUUAAUGUUGCAAUUCUUAGGUGAUUGAAAUUUUUGUUUUGGUUAAUGAUGUAUGCCGCUUAAGUUUGGUCUGCCUACACCAAAAAUUUUGUUGAAAGCAUGCUCAUUUGUUUGCAGAGUCCCAUCAAUGGUUAUUAAAUUACCUGAUGGUUAGUCUUCUUUGUGUUGUCAGAGUAUGCAUCUUCCAUCCUUAACUGAUCUUCUAGAGUAAAUCUAGUUCAAUGUGCUCGUGUCAUUGAAUUGGCAGAGCUGAAGGUAUAUCCCCAAUUUAUCAUAUUGUGACAAUUAAUCAGAGUAUCUUGCAAGAUUGGAGAGCUUUACUCUUUUUAUUUUUUGGCUUAUUGACUGAAAAAUACCCAAUAUUUAUGUCAUUUUACAUUUUAAUCUAAACGUUUAAAUUUUGGAUGAAUUUACCUAAUAUUUGUAUUUGGUUGAUUUUGAUCAAUUUUUAAAAUUUAAAAUGUGAGUUUAGGUGGUAUGUCAAAUGUAAUAUUUUGUUAUUUUUAGAUAUAAACUAAUUCUAUAUAUGAAAUUAAUAUUAUCUCAUUGUGACUUAUUUCUUUUCGAACUUAUUUUCUUCGGUUAUUCAUUGUUGUCUCUUGCCAAUGUCUUAAAACUUCUCCAAAUUAGUUAGUGCUAGUCAUGGACUCUCUCGUCUUUUCAUGUUGCUUAAACAUUCAUUGUUGUCUCUUGCCAUCAAUGUCUUAAAACUUCUCCAAAUUAGUUAGUGCUAGUCAUGGACUCUCUCGUCUUUUCAUGUUGCUAAUGUUUAAGCAUAUCUUGUUGAUUAGUUUCAUAUUAUGUAUCCUCUUCUUGUUCAUUUCAGGGUCAGGAUCGCUUAGAAGACAAGCCGUUGUUUGUUCUAGUAAGCGGCUAGAAGACAAACCAUAGUGUCCAAUGGCUAGAACGCUGCUCAAAGUCGUGAACACGAGUAAGGUGAAGGGAACUUGGUAAUAAAGGGCUUAGACAACAGUGCGAGGACUUUUCUUUUUUAAACUUCCCCUUUUGGCAUGAUCAUUAAACUCUAAUUUUAAUUAAUGUCGGCUUUUAUGUCAAUGUGGGUGUUCGGCAGGAGAAUGACCACCCUUGAUGUCUGGUUUUGGGGCAGUGGAUGGGUUGGGUACACCGAAUCUCAUCUGUAUUCCACCCAGUUACUUCACCUUGGUAGGUUGAGCAUGAAUAUGAAAAAAUGGGAGCACUAACGUUGUCCCUUUGAUCGACGCGGACGCCGGCCCACUUUUUCCUGUCUGCUGUGCCUGUAUGCUUUUCUAUGCCCUAUUAUACUACCAUGAUUCACUGGACGCAAAUUAUUGCAAUCCCUUAGUCCAGGAGCCCUUGUUGCCUCCGCUGUAGCUGCUUAAUUCUUCAAUGAAUCUUAUCUUUGCUGAAAAAGAAAAAAAAAGUAAGAAUCUGUAUGGAUGGAUGCCUUUUUAAGAUCUAAUUUGCUUGGUGCUGAAUUCCCCUUUUCUCUCAAGUACAACCAUUUGAUUUCCUGUUUGAACUUGACCCAUAAUUAAAAGUUUAAUUAGAAAAUGCCUUUCUUCGCUUUUCUCGCAACACACAAGACAUGAUAGCCUCUAGUCAAUUCCUGAAUGUGGCUGUAGUGUAUGUAUAUAAGGCGAGAAAGAGGAUUGUUUUUCAAAACACGUAAUGCAACCUGUAGAAUUAAGGCUAAGCUAUAGCUUGGUUAGAUGUCUGAAUAAACGGAGCUUACAACUACCUGAUUAACAUCUAUGGAUUGCAUUUAGCAUAUAUUACUGCCUACGGUAAUAAGAGGUAACUCUAUUUUGUUUUUAUUUAUUUCUUGGGAAGA
rnacentral:lncRNA from 1 species